rnacentral:rRNA from 1 species
UACGGGGGGGGCAAGCGGUUGUUCGGAUUACUGGGCGUAAAGGGCUCGUAGGCGGCCAACUAAGUCAGACGUGAAAUCCCUCGGCUUAACCGGGGAACUGCAUCUGAUACUGGAUGGCUUGAGUUCGGGAGAGGGAUGCGGAAUUCCAGGUGUAGCGGUGAAAUGCGUAGAUAUCUGGAGGAACACCGGUGGCGAAGGCGGCAUCCUGGACCGACACUGACGCUGAGGAG